rnacentral:rRNA from 1 species
GACGAACGCUGGCGGCGUGCUUAACACAUGCAUGUCGAACGAUGAAGAAGAGCUUGCUCUUCGGAUUAGUGGCGAACGGGUGAGUAACACGUGACUAACCUGCCCCUUUCUCUGGGAUAACGCUCCGAAAGGAGUGCUAAUACCGGAUACUCACAUCGAGGCACAUGCCUUGAUGUGGAAAGUUUUUCGGAAAGGGAUGGAGUCGCGGCCUAUCAGCUUGUUGGUGAGGUAACGGCUCACCAAGGCGACGACGGGUAGCCGGCCUGAGAGGGCGACCGGCCACACUGGGACUGGGACACGGCCCAGACUCCUACGGGAGGCAGCAGUGUGGAAUAUUGCACAAUGGGCGAAAGCCUGAUGCAGCGACGCCGCGUGAGGGAUGAAGGUCUUCGGAUUGUAAACCUCUUUCAGUGGGGACGAAGCGAAAGUGACGGUACCUAAAGAAGAAGCACCGGCUAACUACGUGCCAGCCGCCGCGGUAA